GUAAAGAUGAGGCAACAAGACACAGAAAGAACACCAUAAGAAGACAGAGGGAAAACCAAGGAGUACUAAAGAUUGCCGGCAAACCACCAGAGGCUAGGAGAGAGGCAUGGAACAGAUUCUCCCUCACAGCCCUCAGAAUAAACCAACCCUGCCAACACCUUGAUCUUGGACUUCUACCCUCCAGAACUGUCCUGUUUUCUGAAACAUCAUUCUUCAGUAAAAGGAGCAGAGUUCCUUGGAGAAGCAGUUGAUUCCAGGGCAGGGGCAAGAAAACUACCAGGUAUUGGCUCCAAGAGCACUUCCUAAUAAACACCCUAUAUGCUGAUCUCCAUCUCAGAGUCUCAUCCCUGGUGGCCUCACACUGUGACAGUCAUCUUUAGUUCUGAUGUUAGUCUAACAUUUGAUCUGUUCUGAUCUCAAGUCCUCAAUAAAAAAUUCAGAUUUA
rnacentral:lncRNA from 1 species